rnacentral:rRNA from 1 species
AUGUCAAUUUUCCAAAAUGCCGUAACCAACUCAGCAAGGAAAAAAGAAGGGAUAGUAAUCAGAGGUAUUGUUGAUCUUUGUCUGUCGGGUGCUAGUGCUAUAGUUGAUCACGAGAAUCAGAUGUACAACAAAGAGAAAACUAAAAUUUCACACUGGAAAUUCAAAGGAACACCUCUUGAGUUUGACUUCUAUGAUCAAAGUGAAAUCAAUAUUGAGUUCUUGUUGCUGUCAUAUGCUGCAUCUCAAGUCAAGCGGCUUUUUCCAUGGGAUCCAGGAGAACAUGACCAUUUAGUGAAAAUUACUGCGAUGAUACUAGUUGGAACUGCGGGACAGGUUAUUUCUGAACUUAUCAGCAGCAAAGUGAUCACUCAAAUGGCCCGAUGUAGCACAGAGAAUAAGAUACCACAGUCGGAUGCCUCGCUGUUGCCUUUGUCUGUCGAUUGCUUGUACCCAUUGGUCAACAUCUGUACAAGAUCUGUGAGAAGCAAUCUGAAAGCUAGCUCUCCAGUUCAGACGUACAAUGACAUGAAAGUGCAGACUAAAGGAAUCUAUGCAGCUGUUGUGUUACCAUGGGACACUGGCGUACAAUCCAUUGUAUGUACAAAUUUUACUACAUGUGCUACUGCCAGUUAUCUUCCAGGGAAGCAUACUCCAGCACAUAACAUGAACAUGGUGCAGGUUUUACAAAAGGAAAGAAUUAUGGGGCUGUACAAGGAUACUGAAGAGAUGAUUCCCAUAUCUCUAAGAGACCUACUGAGCAUCACUUUCUCAUACCAAGAUUGUAUAGCGCAUGAAGAUCUCUUUCAUCUGAAGCAGCGAGUGUUUCCUAAAUUUCCUUCUGAUCAAAUCUCAAUGGAGACAUUGACUGUGAUAAUGGUUGUUGCUACUUCCACUUCUUUUGAACCAGCACGACAAGAAUCCAAGUUCAUUGUGGUUUCUGCACAAGAGCUCAAGAACAUUGUUGUUAUUGUACAAGGUCCAUACUAUACCAAUUCUAACCCUACAGGUUGUGGACUAUUCUGGGAAACAAACUCUUCAUGUUCAACCUUGCGACAAUCUGUAUCAUAUAUAUGGGUGUACAAGCGAUUUGACCCAAGAGAUCCACCAUUGGCAUUGUUGUUCAACAUGGCGAUGCAAUCAGGGGAAUGCUAUGCUACGGUGAAACAAAGGAAGUGUCAGAAGCUCAAACAUCUUGAAAUCAUAUGUUGGACGUCUCCAAUUUGGAUCAUAUCAUUUAUGCCUCCCUGA